AGCAGCCGCGGUAAUUCCAGCUCCAAUAGCGUAUAUUAAAGUUGUUGCAGUUAAAAAGCUCGUAGUUGAAUUUCGGGAUCAGCAGGUUGGUCUUGCCACUGGUAUGUACUAGCUUGCUGAUUCCUCCUUCUUGUAGAACCGUAAUGCCAUUAAUUUGGUGUUGCGGGGAAACAGGACUGUUACUUUGAAAAAAUUAGAGUGUUUAAAGCAAGCUAACGCUUGAAUACAUUAGCAUGGAAUAAUGAAAUAGGACGUUUGAUCCUAUUUUGUUGGUUUCUAGGAUUGACGUAAUGAUUAAUAGGGAUAGUUGGGGGCAUUAGUAUUCAAUUGUCAGAGGUGAAAUUCUUGGAUUUAUUGAAGACUAACUACUGCGAAAGCAUUUGCCAAGGAUGUUUUCAUUAAUCAAGAACGAAAGUUAGGGGAUCGAAGACGAUCAGAUACCGUCGUAGUCUUAACCAUAAACUAUGCCGACUAGGGAUCGGAUGAUGUUAAUUUUUUAAUGACUCA
rnacentral:rRNA from 1 species